rnacentral:rRNA from 1 species
UACAGGGGGUGCAAACGUUGCUCGGAAUCAUUGGGCGUAAAGCGCACGUAGGCGGUCUGUUAUGUCGGAUGUGAAAGCCCUCGGCUCAACCGAGGAACUGCACUCGAUACUGGCUGGCUCGAGUCCGGGAGGGGAUGGUGGAAUUCCCAGUGUAGCGGUGAAAUGCGUAGAUAUUGGGAAGAACACCGGUGGCGAAGGCGACCAUCUGGACCGGAACUGACGCUGAGGCGCGAAAGCCAGGGGAGCGAAUGGG